rnacentral:rRNA from 1 species
CCUACGGGUGGCAGCAGUGGGGAAUCUUGCACAAUGGGGGGAACCCUGAUGCAGCGACGCCGCGUGGGUGAAGGAGCGUUUCGGCGCGUAAAGCCCUAUCGGCAGGGAAGAAAAUGACGGUACCUGACCAAGAAGCCCCGGCUAACUCGGUGCCAGCAGCCGCGGUAAUACGUAGGGGGCAAGCGUUAUCCGGAUUUACUGGGUGUACAGGGGGCGCAGACGGCAGUGCAAGCCAGGAGUGACAGCCCGGGGCGCAACCCCGGGACUGCUCUUGAAACUGCAUGGCUGGAGUUCAGGAGGGGCAGGCGGAAUUCCUAGUGUAGCGGUGAAAGGCGUAGAUAUUAGGAGGAACACCGGUGGCGAAGGCGGCUUGCUGGACUGUGACUGACGUUGAGGCCCGAAGGCGUGGGGAGCAAACAGGAUUAGAUACCCCUGUAGUC